UGAGCGAUCUGGGAGGCUCGGGACUCCACUAAGGCGCGAGGGAGAUCCGCCUGAAGAGGUCACGAUGGGAGGCUCGCGACUCUGCUAACGGGCGAGGGAGAUCCGCCUGAAGAGGUGAGGCCACUAAGCGAGGUCACCGACGUACGAGGAGCUUGGCCUAACGCCCGCCUCUAGCAGUGUCUGCUCAGACUAGAUCCCGGCUUCUGGGUUCCUCAUCUCGCCUGGCUCAGCGCCAUCCGUGUAACGUUGGCCUCCUGAGGGGGCGUCUUUAGCUCCCCGCUCCCUCCUCCUCGGGACUUUCUCCUGUACCUGCCCAUCAGCCCCUGAGGCACGAAGCUCCAGGAUCUGGUUAUUCUCAUCUAGCCAGGAUGACUGAUAUAGCUCCAUGAGGGUGGAUACUAUCUCUCCUCAUUUCAGCCAGGAAAGAAAUCAG